AGCUGGGGGAUGAGCACCUGCGGAGGCGGGGCCUGUGGGCAGCAUGCGGAGCCCCCUGGCUCCUCCACCUAGGAUCUGCAAGGACAUGCUGGUGGGAGCCAGGGAGGCCUCUACCCCCAUGCAAGCACUGCCCUGCACCCCAACCCUCUGCCCCUCACCCUGAGCCC